rnacentral:rRNA from 1 species
UACAGAGGUCCCGAGCGUUGUUCGGAUUCACUGGGCGUAAAGGGUGCGUAGGUGGUUGGGUAAGUCUGAUGUGAAAUCUCCGGGCUCAACCCGGAAAUGGCAUUGGAUACUAUUCGGCUAGAGGUUUGGAGGGGGACUGGAAUUCUCGGUGUAGCAGUGAAAUGCGUAGAUAUCGAGAGGAACACCAGUGGCGAAGGCGAGUCCCUGGACAACACCUGACACUGAGGCACGAAAGCUAGGGGAGCAAACAGG